UACGGAGGGUGCAAGCGUUAUCCGGAUUCACUGGGUUUAAAGGGUGCGUAGGCGGUUCGGUAAGUUUCGUGUGAAAUCUUCGGGCUCAACUCGAAGCCUGCACGAGAUACUGUCGCGCUAGAGUGCGGAAGGGGCAAUCAGAAUUCUUGGUGUAGCGGUGAAAUGCGUAGAUAUCAAGAGGAAUACCAGAGGUGAAGACGGGUUGCUAGGCCGACACUGACGCUGAAGCGCGAAAGCCAGGGGAGCAAACGGG
rnacentral:rRNA from 1 species